rnacentral:rRNA from 1 species
GGCUCAGGAUGAACGCUAGCUACAGGCUUAACACAUGCAAGUCGAGGGGCAUCAUGGAGUUUGCUUGCAAACUCUGAUGGCGACCGGCGCACGGGUGAGUAACGCGUAUCCAACCUUCCCUAUAGUAGAGGAUAGCCCGGCGAAAGUCGGAUUAAUACUCUAUGUUUUCCGUUGCAGACAUCUAAGAUGGAACAAAGGCUUGCCGCUAUAGGAUGGGGAUGCGUCUGAUUAGGUAGUCGGCGGGGUAACGGCCCACCGAGCCUUCGAUCAGUAGGGGUUCUGAGAGGAAGGUCCCCCACAUUGGAACUGAGACACGGUCCAAACUCCUACGGGAGGCAGCAGUGAGGAAUAUUGGUCAAUGGGCGCGAGCCUGAACCAGCCAAGUAGCGUGCAAGGAUGACGGCCCUAUGGGUUGUAAACUGCUUUUAUGCGGGGAUAAAGUUCACUACGUGUAGUGUUUUGUAGGUACCGCAUGAAUAAGGACCGGCUAAUUCCGUGCCAGCAGCUGC